UACGAAGGGGGCUAGCGUUGUUCGGAAUCACUGGGCGUAAAGGGCGCGUAGGCGGCUUUAUAAGUCGGGGGUGAAAGCCCAGGGCUCAACCCUGGAAUUGCCUUCGAUACUGAAGAUCUCGAGACCGGAAGAGGUAAGUGGAACUGCGAGUGUAGAGGUGAAAUUCGUAGAUAUUCGCAAGAACACCAGUGGCGAAGGCGGCUUACUGGUCCGGUUCUGGACGCUGAGGCGCGAAAGCGUGGGGAGCAAACAGG
rnacentral:rRNA from 1 species